rnacentral:rRNA from 1 species
CCUACGGGAGGCAGCAGUGAGGAAUAUUGGUCAAUGGGCUUACGCCUGAACCAGCCAAGUCGCGUGAGGGAAGACUGCCCUAUGGGUUGUAAACCUCUUUUGUCAGGGAGCAAUUGGCGCUACGUGUAGCGUUAUCGAGAGUACCUGAAGAAAAAGCAUCGGCUAACUCCGUGCCAGCAGCCGCGGUAAUACGGAGGAUGCGAGCGUUAUCCGGAUUUAUUGGGCUUAAAGGGAGCGUAGGCGGGCGUUCAAGUCAGCUGUAAAAUCGCGCGGCUCAACCGCGCCCCGCAGUUGAAACUGGACGCCUUGAGUUCACAACAGGCAGGCGGAAUUCGUGGUGUAGCGGUGAAAUGCAUAGAUAUCACGAGGAACCCCGAUUGCGAAGGCAGCCUGCCGGGGUGCGACUGACGCUGAGGCUCGAAGGUGCGGGUAUCAAACAGGAUUAGAUACCCUUGUAGUC